AGUGAACGCUGGCGGUAGGCCUAACACAUGCAAGUCGAACGGCAGCACAGUAAGAGCUUGCUCUUACGGGUGGCGAGUGGCGGACGGGUGAGGCAUACAUCGGAAUCUACUUUUUCGUGGGGGAUAACGUAGGGAAACUGACGCUAAUACCGCAUACGACCUACGGGUGAAAGCAGGGGAGCUUCGGACCUUGCGCGAUAGAUUGAGCCGAUGUCGGAUUAGCUAGUUGGCGGGGUAAAGGCCCACCAAGGCGACGAUCCGUAGCCGGUCUGAGAGGAUGAUCAGCCACACUGGAACUGAGACACGGUCCAGACUCCUACGGGAGGCAGCAGUGGGGAAUAUUGGACAAUGGGCGCAAGCCUGAUCCAGCCAUACCGCGUGAGUGAAGAAGGCCUUCGGGUUGUAAAGCCCUUUUGUUGGGAAAGAAAAGCAGCAGGUUAAUACCCCGAUGUUCUGACGGUACCCAAAGAAUAAGCACCGGCUAACUUCGUG
rnacentral:rRNA from 1 species